rnacentral:rRNA from 1 species
AGUGAACGCUGGCGGUAGGCCUAACACAUGCAAGUCGAACGGCAGCACAGUAAGGGCUUGCUCUUACGGGUGGCGAGUGGCGGACGGGUGAGGAAUACAUCGGAAUCUACUUUUUCGUGGGGGAUAACGUAGGGAAACUUACGCUAAUACCGCAUACGACCUACGGGUGAAAGCAGGGGAUCUUCGGACCUUGCGCGAUUGAAUGAGCCGAUGUCGGAUUAGCUAGUUGGCGGGGUAAAGGCCCACCAAGGCGACGAUCCGUAGCUGGUCUGAGAGGAUGAUCAGCCAAACUGGAACUGAGACACGGUCCAGACUACUACGGGAGGCAGCAGUGGGGAAUAUUGGACAAUGGGCGCAAGCCUGAUCCAGCCAUACCGCGUGGGUGAAGAAGGCCUUCGGGUUGUAAAGCCCUUUUGUUGGGAAAGAAAAGCAGCAGGUUAAUACCCCGCUGUUCUGACGGUAACCAAAGAAUAAGCACCGGCUAACUUCGUG